UACGUAGGCAGCAAGCGUUGUUCGGAGUUACUGGGCGUAAAGGGUGUGUAGGCGGUCUCGUAAGUCUGGUGUGAAAUCUCCCGGCUCAACUGGGAGGGUGCGCCGGAAACUGCGAGGCUAGAGUGUGGGAUGGGAGAGUGGAAUUCCUGGUGUAGCGGUGAAAUGCGUAGGUAUCAGGAGGAACACCUGCGGUGUAGACGGCUCUCUGGACCACUACUGACGCUGAAACACGAAAGCGUGGGUAGCAAACAGG
rnacentral:rRNA from 1 species